AGGUAGUUAGUCUAACGGUAAGACGGCUGACUUCGACCCAGCAGACUGCGGUUUGACUCCGUGACUACCUA
rnacentral:tRNA from 1 species